rnacentral:lncRNA from 1 species
AGAGCUUGAGAGAUUUAUACCCCAGCCCAAGAUCCACAGUCAUUAAAUGGCAGGGCUCUAGUUCAAAUCCAGGUCAGUGUGAUUCCAGAGCUCACAGUCUCACCACUACUCUCUUCUAGAAUUUACAGUCUUCAUGCUUUGCUCUUCUCUCCUUCCCUCUCAAGACUGCAAUCAUGGAGCUGAUAGACUUAUUUUCACCAAAACAUAAAUGAUGGGCACAGCUUAUUAUGUUUUUUUUCUGGAUGCAUUUUGAAAUGACCAUUGGAUGUACUUCUUUUGCAUUUUUAUUGUGAAAUACAGAACCAGUUUUGGCACUUUAUCUGAAUACAGACAAUAUGGAGGCCUCAGGCUCAGAGGAUGGCAGAGUCUUCAGAUGGAUGGAGGGAGCUGCAGUCACUGAACCACUGCAGGGAGAGAAGUACUCACAGACCAGGAACGCUCAACUUGGACUGUUAUGUGACAGAAAGAACUUGAUGUAUACCUCCUGACCUGUUCAUCUUGUAGCUGCCUCUUGACAGGUGCCAAGAACUGUGAUUUGUGCUACAGAUACACAGUCUCCUUUCUCAAAGUGUUCUGAGUUCAGUUGGGUUGACAGGCAAGUGAACAGAACAGAUAUUUGCAGUAGGAGGAG